UACGAAGGGGGCUAGCGUUGCUCGGAAUUACUGGGCGUAAAGGGCGCGUAGGCGGCACUGUUAGUCAGGCGUGAAAGUCCUGGGCUCAACCUGGGAACUGCGCUUGAUACGGCAGAGCUAGAGGAUGGAAGAGGCUCGCGGAAUUCCCAGUGUAGAGGUGAAAUUCGUAGAUAUUGGGAGAACACCGGUGGCGAAGGCGGCGACCUGGUCCUUGACUGACGCUGAGGCGCGAAAGCGUGGGAGCAAACAGG
rnacentral:rRNA from 1 species